AGUAGUUGGUUGACUUCACAUUGAGUUGAGUUGAAAAGAAAAGGAGAAAAGCUAAGAAUAUUGAAUCUCGACCAGCCGAGUAGAAAUAUCUCAGUAGUUGGUAUCAGGUCUUAAUAAUAAUUUUUUUUUGCUAAGUCUUAUAAUUUCUGUUCGACUGGUAGAGAUUCAAUCUUUUCUGCAGAUCACUCUUAUCGUAUCAGGAGAAUGCAUUUAUAUAUGUCACUCACUUGAGAGAAAGAGUGUAUUUGGAGAUGGUGGUGAGUGAGUGUUCUCGGCCCAACCCUUGAGUCUCCACCUCAAUUACAUUCCUAGCAUCACAAAUUUAUUAGAUAUAUUUUUAUAAUAUGUAUUUCUCUUUUCAAGUUGUCAUUAUAAGAAAUUAAUCUAUUAUUUGUUAAUUAAUCAUAAUUAUGUACUUAGCAGCAAAUUUUAUUUUAUAUAUAGGGAUUAUUUUAAUAAGUUACUUUUCUGUCAAAUUUGUGCACACAAACUUAUUAUGAAAAUUUCACCACAUUUAAUGCAUUAACAGACAUGGUUUAUGCAUAUUUGAUCAUUGUGCACACCUCGUCCAUAUAAUACAUACAAUGUUUUAGAAAAGAAAAAUACCAACAAGUAUAUGACUUCUCCCUUUGGACAAAAAUCAAUCUGAAAUAGACAAAAGUUCACUACUACUUAAUUAACUAGCUAUAUUAUUUUGUUACCACGCAUAACUAAUUUGAUGGACACACAAUUAAGUAUACAUUGCGUAAAAUGCUAAAGUUCACAAGUAAUUUUUGUCAUGUUUGACAAGGAAAUUGGACAUGAUGAGGAGGUCUUAACGUAAAUAUUCUUGAUCAAACAAAGUUUACUGUGAUUUUGAAAUGUUUUUUUAUACAAUCCUCAUUCUCGAUCUCACUGCCAUAAUAUAUAUAUAUAUAUAUAUAUUAAUAUAAAAUUGUUGAAACUCUUC